GUAAGUCUAGUAGUCUGUGGAUACAUAUUGUUAUUUACCACAGUUAUGUGUGGGUGUGGUGUUUUCAACCGUCUGCUCGGGGGUGAAAACUGUGUCCUCGUUAGCAUCAAGGUGUAUCAGAAACGUUGUACCUUCCAUCUCCUCUUUACUCUCCUCUGCCCUUGCUAUCACUUCAGGGAUUAAGAAGACAAGAUGGAGGGUAAUUUCUGGAUGACAACGAUCCUCCUGUCCUUCUGUCUUUCGGGUCAUAUGUUUACUGAACUCUCCCAACGUCCCAACUGCAAAGACAGACCUCUGUCCGUCCAGCGUGAAUCUUUCCACAGCAGAGUGUCCAUCUCCUGCCCCGACAAGACAGGAGAAGAUAUGAGAUUCCACCUCUCUUGGAACGAGACCCUCGUUCACACCACAGUGCUCAAGAUUAACCAGAUUCACACCAGAAACAACCAAUCAGACACCUGGAUCCAGUUCUACCUAGCUGAACAGAACCAGAACCACAAUCUACCCAACCGCUAUGUGUUCACGGUCAAUGGAUCAGGAAUGUAUACCUGUAGAGCGGACAAGCUGUGGCCACCCCCUUAUGAAGAGGACUAUGUUCACACUCUACUGAUUGCAGAGAAGCAGUGUCUGAAACCCCACUAUCCGCUAGCCAAUCAGAGUUGUGUGGAGGAUCCUAAACCCCUCCUUCUGUGUGUGUUAUUGGUUGGAUGUGGGGCGCUACUCUUCUACAGCACCAUCAUCACCUUCGUCGUCGUCCUCACCUGGAGGAAGCUGAAGAAGGAAAUUUCUGCUCAGAGUACAUACUUGAACAUAAAGCUAGGAGAGAAGAGAGUUCCUCAGAGAGUCCAGUAUCCAGUCACCGGAAGGUUCUGAUGCUGAUCUUCCUAAGGCUGUGCGUGCACUACUUUUGUGCACAAUAUAGGGAAUAGGCACCCUAAUCUGGGACUUGGCCGAUUGGCUCUUCAAUCAAUCUACUGACGCAUUCAAUGCAUUAUAACUUCGGGAAAAUCAGGAUCAUUAGGACAUGAUCAGAAUACAUGAUUACGUCUCAUACUGCAUCAGAACAGCGUCGUACUGCAUCAGAACAGCUUCGUACUGCAUCAGAACAGCUUCAUACUGCAUCAGAACAGGUCAUACUGCAUCAGAACAGCUUCAUACUGCAUCAGAACAGGUCAUACUGCAUCAGAACAGCUUCAUACUGCAUCAGAACAGGUCAUACUGCAUCAGAACAGCUUUAUAAUGCAUUAUCAGCUUCAUACUGCAUUAGAACAGGUCAUACUGCAUCAGAACAGCUUCAUACUGCAUCAGAACAGGUCAUACUGCAUCAGAACAGCUUCAUACUGCAUCAGAACAGGUCAUACUGCAUCAGAACAGCUUCAUACUGCAUUAGAACAGGUCAUACUGCAUCAGAACAGUGUCGUACUGCAUCAGAACAGCUUCAUACUGCAUUAGAACAGGUCAUACUGCAUCAGAACAGUGUCGUACUGCAUCAGAACAGCUUCAUACUGCAUCAGAACAGCUUCAUACUGCAUCAGAACAGUGUCAUACUGCAUCAGAACAGCGUCACACUGCAUCAGAACAGCUUCAUACUGCAUCAGAACAGGUCAUACUGCAUCAGAACAGCUUUAUAAUGCAUUAUCAGCUUCAUACUGCAUUAGAACAGGUCAUACUGCAUCAGAACAGCUUCAUACUGCAUUAGAACAGUGUCAUACUGCAUCAGAACAGCUUCAUACUGCAUCAGAACAGUGUCGUACUGCAUCAGAACAGCUUCAUACUGCAUCAGAACAGGUCAUACUGCAUCAGAACAGCUUCAUACUGCAUCAGAACAGCUUCAUACUGCAUUAGAACAGGUCAUACUGCAUCAGAACAGCUUCAUACUGCAUUAGAACAGUGUCAUACUGCAUCAGAACAGCUUCAUACUGCAUUAGAACAGCUUCAUAUUGCAUUAGAACAGGUCAUACUGCAUCAGAACAGCUUCAUACUGCAUCAGAACAGCUUUAUAAUGCAUUAUCAGCUUCAUACUGCAUUAGAACAGGUCAUACUGCAUCAGAACAGUGUCAUACUGCAUCAGAACAGUGCCAUACUGCAUCAGAACAGCUUUAUACUGCAUCAGAACAGGUCAUACUGCAUCAGAACAGCUUCGUACUGCAUCAGAACAGCUUCAUACUGCAUCAGAACAGCUUUAUACUGCAUCAGAACAGUGUCAUACUGCAUCAGAAUAGUGUCAUACUGCAUCAGAACAGCUUUAUACUGCAUCAGAACAGUGUCAUACUGCAUCAGAAUAGUGUCAUACUGCAUCAGAACAGCUUUAUACUGCAUCAGAACAGGUCAUACUGCAUCAGAACAGCUUCGUACUGCAUCAGAACAGCUUCAUACUGCAUCAGAACAGCUUCAUACUGCAUUAGAACAGGUCAUACUGCAUCAGAACAGCUUCAUACUGCAUUAGAACAGUGUCAUACUGCAUCAGAACAGCUUCAUACUGCAUUAGAACAGGUCAUACUGCAUCAGAACAGCUUCAUACUGCAUUAGAACAGUGUCAUACUGCAUCAGAACAGCUUCAUACUGCAUCAGAACAGCUUCAUACUGCAUCAGAACAGCUUCAUAUUGCAUUAGAACAGGUCAUACUGCAUCAGAACAGCUUCAUACUGCAUCAGAACAGCUUUAUAAUGCAUUAUCAGCUUCAUACUGCAUUAGAACAGGUCAUACUGCAUCAGAACAGUGUCAUACUGCAUCAGAACAGUGUCAUACUGCAUCAGAACAGCUUUAUACUGCAUCAGAACAGGUCAUACUGCAUCAGAACAGCUUCGUACUGCAUCAGAACAGCUUCAUACUGCAUCAGAACAGCUUUAUACUGCAUCAGAACAGUGUCAUACUGCAUCAGAAUAGUGUCAUACUGCAUCAGAACAGCUUUAUACUGCAUCAGAACAGUGUCAUACUGCAUCAGAAUAGUGUCAUACUGCAUCAGAACAGCUUUAUACUGCAUCAGAACAGGUCAUACUGCAUCAGAACAGCUUCGUACUGCAUCAGAACAGCUUCGUACUGCAUCAGAACAGCUUCAUAAUACAUUAUUCCUACAGGCUCUAAGUAAAGUUGUACCAAUCAGGAUGUUUGUAUUAAACGCUACACUCUGUAUAAUCUCUGUGUUGUUCCAUAACAAUGACUUCCCUGCCUAUUGUUUAAUGCUCUGUAUGAAGCUGUUUGUGUUUCAAAAGUAAAGGAAGGAGAAUGUUCAUGUGAGUUUCACGUUACGCCCUCACCACACGUUCUUCCUGACAUGCUAGGGUUUCACGCUCAAAUGGCACCCUAUUCCCUAUGUAGUGCACUACUGUUGACCAGGGUCCAUAUGGGCUCUGGUCUAAAGUAGUGCACUAUAAUAUAAGGAAUAGGGUGACAUUUGGGACACCUCCGAGACAUUUUUCACGCCUAUUCUAGGAAACAGUUCAAAUCUUAUCAAAGAUCAUGUCUACGAUUCAUUACUGAGCAGUUUCACACAACCCCACAUACUGUAAGCACACAUAAAUAUUGAAUGCCGUUGGUAAAUAUGUGGAUAAUCCCUAAAUAAAAUGGCUGGUUCUAUAAAUAGGGCACUACUUUUGUCCAGGGCCCAUAAGGGAAUAAGGGACAUUUCAGACAAACCCCUUUAUCUGACAGUUGUGGCUGCUUUGCGUGAUGUAUUGUUGUCUCUACCUUCUUGCCCUUUGUGCUGUUGUCUGUGGCCCAAUAAUGUUUGUACCAUGUUUUGUGCUGCUACCAUGUUGUGUUGCUGUCAUGUUGUGUUUCUACCAUGUUGUGUUGCUACCAUGCUGUGUUGUUACCAUGCUGUGUUUCUACCAUGUUGUGUUUCUACCAUGUUGUGUUGCUACCAUGUUGUGUUGCUACCAUGCUGUGUUGCUACCAUGCUGUGUUGUCAUGUUGUGCUGCUACCAUGCUGUGUUGUCAUGUUGUGCUGCUACCAUGUUGUGUUGCUACCAUGCUGUGUUGUCAUGCUGUGUUGUCAUGUUGUGUUGCUACCAUGUUGUAUUGUCAUGUUGUGUUGCUGCCAUGCUAUGUUGCUACCAUGUUGUGUUGCUACCAUGCUGUGUUGUCAUGUUGUGCUGCUACCAUGUUGUGUUGCUACCAUGCUGUGUUGUCAUGUUGUGUUGCUACCAUGCAGUGUUGUCAUGUUGUGUUGCUACCAUGUUGUGUUUCUACCAUGCUGUGUUGCUACCAUGCUGUGUUGUCAUGUUGUGUUUCUACCAUGUUGUGAUGCUACCAUGUUGUGUUUCUACUAUGCUGUGUUGCUACCAUGUUGUGUUGUCAUGUUGUGUUGCUACCAUGUUGUGUUUCUACCAUGUUGUGUUGCUACCAUGCUGUGUUAUCAUGUUGUGUUGCUACCAUGUUGUGUUUCUACCAUGUUGUGUUUCUACCAUGUUGUGUUGCUACCAUGCUGUGUUGUCAUGUUGUGUUGCUGCCAUGUUGUGUUUCUACCAUGUUGUGAUGCUACCAUGCUGUGUUGUCAUGUUGUGCUACUACCAUGUUGUGUUGCUACCAUGCUGUGUUGUCAUGUUGUGUUGCUACCAUGCUGUGUUGUCAUGUUGUGUUGCUACCAUGUUGUGUUGCUACCAUGCUGUGUUGUCAUGUUGUGUUUCUACCAUGUUGUGUUGUCAUGUUGUGUUGUCAUGUUGUGUUUCUACCAUGUUGUGUUGUCAUGUUGUGUUGCUACUAUGCUGUGUUUCUACCAUGUUGUGUUGCUACCAUGCUGUGUUGUCAUGUUGUGUUUCUACCAUGUUGUGUUUCUACCAUGUUGUGUUGCUACCAUGUUGUGUUUCUACCCCGCUGUGUUGUCAUGUUGUGUUGCUACAAUGUUGUGUUUCUACCAUGCUGUGUUGCUACCAUGCUGUGUUUCUACCAUGCUGUGUUGCUACCAUGUUGUGUUGUCAUGUUGUGUUUCUACCAUGUUGUGUUGCUACCAUGUUGUGUUGCUACCAUGCUGGGUUGCUACCAUUUUGUGUUUCUACCAUGCUGUGUUCCUACCAUGCUGUGUUUCUACCAUGUUGUGUUGCUACCAUGUUGUGUUUCUACCAUGCUGUGUUGCUACCAUGUUGUGUUGUCAUGUUGUGUUGCUACCAUGUUGUGUUGCUACCAUGUUGUGCUCCUACCAUGCUGUGUUGUCAUGUUGUGUUGCUACC
rnacentral:lncRNA from 1 species